rnacentral:sRNA from 1 species
GUCAUACUAAGGCGCUUCGCCCUGGAAAGUAAACGAUGACCCCCAGGGAACUUCGGGUUAAAAUACGUAUCAAAAUGCAAAACCGAUGCUGACCUGGAGCUUAGUCUCCGGGUCAGUUUUCUU